rnacentral:lncRNA from 1 species
GGAAAACUCAGCAUCUCAGUGAAUGACUAAAAGAAUGAGGGAGUGAAAGAACAUGAAUGUGGACCAACCCUAUUCACACGCAGACAUAUGGGACACUUUCCAGAUGGGGUUUUCAGCCCUCAGGAAACCUCUUCGUGGCUGGCAUGAAUGCAAGAAGUGCAGUGUUCAUCCAUUUCCUCUCCUGAAGCCCUGCCCUUUGGAGCCUCGUCCUUGUAUUGCUGCCAAGGGACCCUGAGGGUACCAGCAAAAGCCCUUUGAGCCCCUCCAGCUCCUCCAAGAUUGAAGACAACCGGGUGCCUUUCUCCUGAGCCUCAGACUUCCCACACAAUUCCGG